CAGGCAACCACCACCGCCGCCGGUCAAGCAGCAGCCGCCGCCGUUGCUCUCCUCCGACGCCCGACUUCCUCCUUCGUCCGCCACCAACAGCACCACCGCCACGUCGCCGCCCAGCCUGCAUCGCUGCGCCGCCGCGUUCCUUGCCCACACCAACCGACGUCCUCCCUUGUCCUCCCUCUUGCUCGACGGAACUCCUUUUCGUUCUUCAUAUCCCGCAAACACGAGUCAGUCGCAGCCACCACCGCUGCGCCACCAUCUUGCCUUGCCUGUCAGCCGCCGACUGUUCUGCUGCCGCCGUCUCAGACCACCGGCCAACCACCCUUUUGUCUCUCUUUUUGGUGGAGAAUUCUCCGUAGGCGACUUUUGAAUUAUUAAAGUGGUCUUGCAGUUUGUUUACACAAGUCUCUAAGGAUCAAUAAGCAUUGUCCAUCUGCAGGUUUGAAGAUGUUGCAUCAUUGGGAUCGGGAAUAGAGAGCUUGUAUUUAGUUUUGAUUUGCUAAGUUGACUUGGGUUUGUUUAAUUGGACUUUAAACUGGUCGUACUAUUUAUAUUUCCUUAUUUUUCGUUUAUUGGUUUUUGGGAUUAAACCUGUAAUCGAUUAUUUAUAAACCUAAAGUUAGUUUUAUGUUUUCCGCUGCAAAAUUCUGAAUAAGCCGUUACGUUUUCACACGGGCGAUAAUGCCUUGAUAAUUCUCUACGUUUUAUAUUAAAAGAUUAUUUUAGAAAAGAGAGAAUUGUCGGGGUGUUACAAAGUGGUAUCUAGAAGCUAAGGUUUUACUUUAAUAUUUUUUUUAGGCGCCUAACUAUCUAGUUAUUUAAAAUAAAUUUCUUAAAAAUCGAGCUUCUACGCACUAUAUUGUUCAAAAAUUGGU